rnacentral:rRNA from 1 species
GGAUUAGAUACCCUGGUAGUCCACGCUGUAAACGAUGGGUACUAGAUGCCUGAGGAAUCGACCCCUUGGGUGUCGCAGCAAACGCAUUAAGUACCCCGCCUGGGGAGUACGGUCGCAAGACUAAAACUCAAAGGAAUUGACGGGGGCCCGCACAAGCGGUGGAACAUGUGGUUUAAUUCGACGCAACGCGAAGAACCUUACCUGGGUUUGACAUCCCGUGCAAUCUUAUGAAAGUAAGAGUUUUCUUCGGAAACACGGUGACAGGUGCUGCAUGGCUGUCGUCAGCUCGUGCCG